UACGUAGGAGGCAAGCGUUGUCCGGAAUUACUGGGCGUAAAGGGUGCGCAGGUGGCGGCGGCGCGUGGGGGGUGAAAUCGCCCGGCUUAACUGGGCGGGGGCCUUCCAGACGGCGUGGCUUGAGCAGGCGGAGGGGGACGUGGAAUCCGGGUGGAGCGGUGAAAUGCGUAGAGAUCCGGAGGAACACCGACGGCGCAGGCAGCCGUCCUGGCCGCUUGCUGACACUGAGGCACGAAAGCUGGGGGAGCAAACAGG
rnacentral:rRNA from 1 species